rnacentral:rRNA from 1 species
AACCGCGGUUAUACGAGAGGCCCAAGUUGAUAGACAACGGCGUAAAGAGUGGUUAGGAUAGGACUGUACUAGGGUCGAAUACCUCCACCGCUGUAUAAAGCCUAUAGAGGUAAGAAGUACACCUGCGAAAGUGACCCUAAGAACAUUUUAACCCACGAAAGCUAGGACA